AGGGUUUUCCGAAGGUGAAACCUUGCCGGAAAGGAAUCAU
rnacentral:rRNA from 1 species